rnacentral:rRNA from 1 species
UACGAAGGGUGCAAGCGUUAAUCGGAAUUACUGGGCGUAAAGGGUGCGUAGGCGGUUCGUUAAGUCUGUCGUGAAAUCCCCGGGCUCAACCUGGGAAUGGCAAUGGAUACUGGCUGGCUAGAGUGUGUCAGAGGAUGGUGGAAUUCCCGGUGUAGCGGUGAAAUGCGUAGAGAUCGGGAGGAACAUCAGUGGCGAAGGCGGCCAUCUGGGAAAACACUGACGCUGAAGCACGAAAGCGUGGGGAGCAAACAGG